UACUAUUAAAGUAUAGCUAAAUUAAUAAAGAAAUAACCAAAGAUUGCAGUUGGAGGAUGCUUUUUGCUGGUAGGCAAAAACCCUCAACUGUUUGGUUGGUUUAGUCAAAUAUCCUUAUUAGCGCUUCUUAUCAGGCUAUGUAGCUUAAAUAAUGACAUAAUCAGGCCGCAUAGAAUGCAACAUGUUUAAUAGCCUAACUUUCAUUAGAUGGGGAAAAACAUGAACGUCUAACAUGAACGUCGCAAAAGACGAGGCAUAGGUUGAAUCCCAUUACUUGGCUCGCUUCAAAAUCUCAGCCCUAACCCUCGCUGUUGCGCGUUCACGCGCCGUGGAGCCAUGUCCCAAUACCAGUUUAAAGGUAGCUUAAGGGGUAAGGGGGAGGGCUAACAUUCCCUCAAAAUUGAGAUUUUCGAUGGGCACCCUCAAAGCGCUUCAGUUCUGACUUGCUCCCACAAUACCUUGCGAGAAAACGGAAAAUCAAGAAAUAUCCUAGACAAGAUGGAGGGCGAAAAGAUGCGAAAGGAUUGGAAAAACACAAAUGACUUCGUUGAGUCCACUGCCACCAGCCCCCCCCACCUCUCCCUCAUGCUCCUCCACCCCAGGCACCUCUUCCACCACCCCAGACACCCCUUCCAAGAGGAGAGUGCCAGGGGGCAGGCGAGGCAUGAGGUGAGCGAGGCAAAAGUUGGCGGAAUGGUGGAGAAGAUGUGAUUCUCCACCAUUCUCUCAAAAGCUGAGAGAGUGUGUGUGUGUGUGUGUGUGUGUGUAUUUUUAGGUGUGCGUGUGUGUGUAUUUUUAGAUGCGUGUGUGUGUAUUUUUAGAUGUGUGGUUCAGUGUUUCUUAUUUAAAUAAAGUGUUUCUUCUAAA